AAAGCUAUAAAAAAUAAAAGUUCUGGAUUGCACAGACCAGUUCCACCUCAGAUUGAGAGUACACCUUCCCACAGUGUCAGCUGCGUCGUUUCAGGACUGUCUGAUGUGGAAUUACAAAAUAAGAGCCCCCACAACUUCCAUAUAUCAAAAUAAGAGCAAGA